AAAACCACCCCAGCGACGUUCAUAGAAUGGCGCAAUAUGUUCGAUAUUAAAAUAACCUGACUUAUUAGUCCGAAUUCAGACAAAUAUAAACAAUUUUCGCUUAAUAUUAAAAAUACUAACCGAUAAAAGAUAUUACUUGAACAUGUAAAUUCACUUUCUUUAAACAACAAAAAACCGCCAAAAACAGGCGGUUAUUUGUUGCCGGUUUGGU
rnacentral:sRNA from 17 species